rnacentral:rRNA from 1 species
AGCGAACGCUGGCGGCGUGCCUAACACAUGCAAGUCGAACGUGAAAAGGGAAACCUGAGUAAAGUGGCGUACGGGUGAGUAACGCGUAGGUAAUCUACCCCAGAAUCUGGAAUAACCUGCCGAAAGGCGGGCUAAUACUGGAUAGAGCGAGGGAACUCGUAAGAGAGUUUUUCGGGAAAGGGAGCCCGCAAGGGCCUUCGUUCUGGGAUGAGCCUGCGUCUCAUUAGCUAGUUGGUAAGGUAACGGCUUACCAAGGCGAUGAUGAGUAGCUGGUCUGAGAGGAUGAUCAGCCACACUGGGACUGAAACACGGUCCAGACUCCUACAGGAGGCAGCAGUGGGGAAUCUUGCGCAAUGGACGAAAGUCUGACGCAGCCACGCCGCGGGAGUGAAGAAGGCCUUCGGGUUGUAAAGCUCUGUCGGAUGGGACGAACAUCUUCAUAGUGAAUAGCUAGGAGGACUGACGGUACCAUCAAAGGAAGCACCGGCUAACUCCGUG